CGUGGGGGAUAACGUAGGGAAACUUACGCUAAUACCGCAUACGAACUGAGGUUGAAAGCGGCGGACCGCAAGGCGUCGCGCGAUUGGAUGAGCCGAUGUCCGAUUAGCUAGUUGGCGGGGUAAUGGCCCACCAAGGCGACGAUCGGUAGCUGGUCUGAGAGGAUGAUCAGCCACACUGGAACUGAGACUCGGUCCAGACUCCUACGGGAGGCAGCAGUGGGGAAUAUUGGACAAUGGGCGCAAGCCUGAUCCAGCCAUGCCGCGUGUGUGAAGAAGGCCUUCGGGUUGUAAAGCACUUUUGUUGGGAAAGAAAUCCUGUCGGUUAAUACCCGGCGGGGCUGACGGUACCCAAAGAAUAAGCACCGGCUAACUUCGUGCCAGCAGCCGCGGUAAUACGAAGGGUGCAAGCGUUACUCGGAAUUACUGGGCGUAAAGCGUGCGUAGGUGGUUUGUUAAGUCAGAUGUGAAAGCCCCGGGCUCAACCUGGGAAUUGCAUUUG
rnacentral:rRNA from 1 species